rnacentral:lncRNA from 1 species
UACGUAACAAUAGGUGUAGCUCUUGGAGUUGUACUUGCAAUUAUACUGAUUGUUUUGGUUGUUAUUAUCUACAGAGUAAAACAUAAAAAAUCACUGUGAGUAUAAAUGAGAUGUCAACGGUUAUGACUGUAUACGUAAAUUUUUAGAAAUUAGAAUAUGCAACAUUCCAACAGCAUCUACAAAUAGAGUAUACAUCUUUGGAUUGAUACGAUAUGUAAGAGCUUUAGAACUAUGUAAAUAAAUAUUAAGGACAUAUGAAACAGGUUGCAUUCCACGGUGCUUUUUUACGAAAAUUUGCAUACAAACUAUUUUUCAACUAGUCAAUUCAAAUUUGUAAUAAAAACAUAUACUUCCAUGUACUACUUAAUGGUAUCGAAAUUUUUAACAUUUAUUAAAAUGGUAUCGAAACUUUAAACAUUUACUAAAAAGAUAUAAAAAAACCAGGACUUUUGUACAAACAUUUAGAAAAUCUUCUUUACAAAAGUAUGCUCUAAGUUUGUUUAACAAUUCUUUAAAAUGAUUGGUUUUUAUCAAAGUAUCACGAUUUUAGAAAAAGAACUGCAUUUUUUGCUGUAUUUUAUUCUAAUUUAAAUAAAAAUAUCAAUUACUUUUUCAUAAAAAUUGGAACAAAUAUUCUAAAUACAUAAUCAAACCAUAGAUGUAAUACGGUAUUACAUCUAUGAUCAAACCUUAUGUCAUUUAGAAAAGGGGGUCCAUGAAAUCGUUUCAAGUUAAAUCAGUAUGAAUGAUAAAAAUUAGUCCAAAAUGCAUCUUUCCCCGAUAUGUCACUUUUUUGACGUCUUGACGUUUCGAAAAAAACAUUUAACGUCAUAACCUCCUCUGUAACUGUAUCGUAUACCCUUAAAUCUACUUUGUUUUACAGGAAGUUAAAAUCUUUUCUUGGUUGUAUGUGCAUUAUUUCACGUUUAUAGGUUGCUCCUUGUAAAAUCAGCUGUUACACAAACCACGACUUUUUUUUAGGAGAUAUAUAAUAUUUAUAGAUUUGGUUUUGUUCCCAGAUAUAAUCUCUAUAUUUCAUCUCAUAGAGACUUUACUUGGGAAUAUUACCAGUAUAAAUAAACAUGGAUAGCGGCCGCCUUGAAUUCUGAGGAAGACUCAAAGCGGAGGGAGGGGUAGUACAAGAUUUUUAUGUAUAUUUUGUCAUUUAAAAAAAUUGUAUUGCACAUGACCUAAUGAUUUCAUCCUAAGAUAUUGGUGCAGUUUUAGCCAUAAUAGGAAAUUGCCUUGUCUAUAUUUACAGAAAUGCAACCUAUAUAAAGACGUAAAAAUUAUCUAAGUUGGGUGAAAUCUCAGAGUUGUUCCUCUUAGGUUAUUAUUAUAAUUUAUCUGAUAAUUGAAAAGUGUUACUGAGUGAAAUUCUAUAAUCAUUUUCAGCUGUUUUGUCAAUUUUACAAUAUUAUGCAACGAUGAUAAUUAUGCAUAUGGAAAUCAUGGAAAUGAAUACUUUCAAAUUGAUCUAAGAUUUUAUUGAAAAUCAAACAAAGUAAAGUACAUGUGAAGGUGUUUUCUUUUUUACAAAAUUUAUAAAAGGGAAAUUAACAUAAGGAAAAGAUAUUAAAUGUAUCUCAAAAACUGAACUUAUGUGAAUUUAAUGUUGAAUUAAAAAAAAAAUUGAAAUAUUCACAAUAUUUUUGUUAUAUAUUCCCAUUCCGUUGUUUACACAGUUAGUGUAUCAGUAUUAAUUCAGUAGAUUGUCAAAACUUAACUGGCCAUUAGACUAAACAUACUGCGAAAUUAUAACAGUGCGCAACCUGUGUCCCAAACGAUUUGGUUGUUAAAAUCAAUCUUUUUAUAAUAUAUCGGUGAUUUGAUUUUGCUCUUGAAAGUUUUUUUGAUAUAUUUAUUCUUCAAGAAUCACUGCAGAGACAUCAAUUAUGACCAAAAUAUUGUCAUACUAUAUCACUAAAAUAUAAAAUUAGUUAUCAUUAUGAUUAAUUCCAUAUGGGAUUUUUUUUUAAAAUAAUCAUUAAACCUUUGUUAUUCACAGGAAAAGGAUAAAUGUUGAGAAGGAAGAAAAAAAUGGACGACAGUCAAUGUUUGAAAAACUAGAGAAUCACGCAGAUGAGAAUAGGUCUAGAACACCAGUAGAACUGUUUAAAGUAAAGUAGAGUAAAGGUUCAUGAAGAAUCCAACAGCAAGAACAGUGCAACCAAUUAAAAAAAUGGAUGUUAACAUUCAUGUCGUUUAUAAAGAAUUCUAUGACAAUUGAACCGUUUUUUCUAUAUCAUGAUAAUUGAAGAUUUGAAUUGUAGUCAUUUCGUACCCUUACCAUUUCGUACCCAUAAUUUCGUACCCUGGCAAAAUCAAUUUCGUACUUUGACCAUUUAGUACCAUGACCAUCAGAUACCUCAUGGAAUAUUAACAUGUAUACCAUUUCGUACCUCAUGGAAGAUUUUAAUGUAUGUCAUUUAGUACAUCUUGUAAGUUUAUAUGUAUGCUUUUUCGUACCCCAUGGAAGAUUUACAUGUAUGUCAUUUCGUACCUCAUUGAGGAUGUAUUUAUAUGUAUGCUAAUUCGUACUCAUGGAAGAUUUUUCAUGUGUAAGAUGUCUGGGUGAAAAAGUUCAUAGACGUAUAGUCCUUGUGUCACUUUAAACUGCAUUUCCUGACAAAAAUAAAGGCAACAGUAGUAUACUGCUGUUCGAAAUUCAUAAAUGGAUUGAGAAAAAAAUAAAUCCGGGUUACAAACAAAAACUAAGCCAAACACAUCAAUUAUAAGAGGAGAACUACGACACAACAGAAACACAACAUUAAAAUGUAACACUCCAAAAAUGUCCAUUUUCCUGACUUGGCAUAGGACAUUUUAAGAAAAAAGUUGUGGGUUGAACCUAGUUUUGUGGCAUGCCAAACCUCCCGCUUUUAUGACUGCCAAUGUUAAAUAUAACAUUUUAAAAAAUGACAACAUUACAUGACAGGACUACAAGACAAAUAAAUGGGAGAACAUAUAGGACAGAGAAACACACGAAUAGGAGCUAACAAAAGGUACCAGAUUUAAAAUUUAAUACGCCAGACAAAAACAAAUAUUUAUAACUAGAAAACAGUUGCAUAAUAAAUCCUGUAAACAAAGUGUUAAUAACACUAUUGAAGUUUCCAAGUGCUGCUUAAUCAAACCAAUUAUCGGUCUUUAUAAAAUUGUUAGACCCCGUUCACACUAGCAUAUUU